ACGGCUCAGUAACACGUGGCUAAUCUGCCCUUGGGACAAGAACAACCCCGGGAAACUGGGGCUAAUUCUCGAUAGGUGAAGAACUCUGGAAUGAGUCUUUGCCUAAAAGAGCCUACGUUAUGCUCGUAGGUUUCGCCCAAGGAUGAGGCCGCGACCGAUCAGGUUGUUGGUGAGGUAAUGGCUCACCAAGCCCUUUACCGGUGCGGGCCGUGAGAGCGGGAGCCCGGAGAUGGGCACUGAGACAAGGGCCCAGGCCCUACGGGGCGCAGCAGUCGCGAGAACUUUGCAAUACACGAAAGUGUGACAGGGCUAUCCCGAGUGCCAUCCGCUGAGGAAGGCUUUUACCCAGUCUAGAACGCUGGGGGAAUAAGGAGAGGGCAAGUCUGGUGUCAGCCGCCGCGGUAAUACCAGCUCUCCGAGUGGUGUGGAUGUUUAUUGGGCCUAAAGCAUCCGUAGCUGGCUGAGUUAGUCCCUUGUUAAAUCCACCGAAUUAAUCGUUGGAUUGCGGGGGAUACUGCUCGGCUAGGGGACGAGAGAGGCAGACGGUAUUUCCGGGGUAGGGGUGAAAUCCUAUAAUCCCGGGAAGACCACCAGUGGCGGAGGCUGUCUGCUAGAACGCGCCCGACGGUGAGGGAUGAAAGCUGGGGGAGCGAACCGGAUUAGAUACCCGGGUAGCCCCAGCUGUAAACGAUGCAGGCUAGGUGUUUGGACGGCCACGUGCCGUUCUAGUGCCGCAGGGAAGCUGUUAAGCCUGCCGCCUGGGGAGUACGAUCGCAAGAUUGAAACUUAAAGGAAUUGGCGGGGGAGCAC
rnacentral:rRNA from 1 species